GGGGGUAUAGCUCAGGGGUUGAGUUCAUGUUUAGCACACAUGAGGCCAUGGGAUAAAUCCCCAGCCCCCA
rnacentral:tRNA from 1 species